rnacentral:rRNA from 1 species
UUUGGUCAUUUAGAGGAAGUAAAAGUCGUAACAAGGUCUCCGUAGGUGAACCUGCGGAGGGAUCAUUACACAAAUAUGAAGGCGGGCUGGAACCUCUCGGGGUUACAGCCUUGCUGAAUUAUUCACCCUUGUCUUUUGCGUACUUCUUGUUUCCUUGGUGGGUUCGCCCACCACUAGGACAAACAUAAACCUUUUGUAAUUGCAAUCAGCGUCAGUAACAAAUUAAUAAUUACAACUUUCAACAACGGAUCUCUUGGUUCUGGCAUCGAUGAAGAACGCAGCGAAAUGCGAUAAGUAGUGUGAAUUGCAGAAUUCAGUGAAUCAUCAAAUCUUUGAACGCACAUUGCGCCCUUUGGUAUUCCAAAGGGCAUGCCUGUUCGAGCGUCAUUUGUACCCUCAAGCUUUGCUUGGUGUUGGGCGUCUUGUCUCUAGCUUUGCUGGAGACUCGCCUUAAAGUAAUUGGCAGCCGGCCUACUGGUUUCGGAGCGCAGCACAAGUCGCACUCUCUAUCAGCAAAGGUCUAGCAUCCAUUAAGCCUUUUUUUCAACUUUUGACCUCGGAUCAGGUAGGGAUACCCGCUGAACUUAAGCAUAUCAAUAAGCGGAGGA